AGGCUCGCCGAAAUAUUUUGACCGAUUCGCGAGACUCGUUUCAUGCCGCCUGCCAGGCGCACGACGCACCACAGCCCGCAGCCCGCGACCGACGCCAGUUGCUCUCUAGACUCUGUUAAGGUUGGGUGUAACUGACCUUGCUCUGACUCUAGUGAGUGGACUUUCCUCAUCAGACUUGUGAUGCAGACCACCUCAGAUCUCAACAACAUGGAGAAGGACACCUUUGAGGCGUCCAACUGUACUGUUGAGGAGUAUGAGUUGGCCUGCAGACAAAGGUUUGCUGAGGACAACAUCACGUAUGAGCGACUCAUCAUCUACUUGAGGACCAGAAGGCAUGCCUCUGGACUUAAGGGUGCUGAGCAGCGGAAAGUAUUGCGAUGGGCACGCCAAUUCCAGUGAGAUGAACAGGAUCAGAAGCUGUACAGAGUGGACCAUGAUGGGAAGCCUCGGAAGCUCGUGGUGAGGUCAUUUGAGGAGGUUGCUGCUGUGUUAUAUCAUCAUCACAGCAGUCCCACUGCAGGGCAUAGCGACUGGGUUACCACUUGUCAGAAUGUCUCCUUAGUUUACUAUUGGCGAAACAUGACCCAGGACAUCAAACAUUAUAUUGAAACAUGUAGUAAGUGCCAGCACUACACGCCAAUGAAGACAAAGGCCCCAGAGAUGCGUCCCAUAAAGGUGAAGGAGCCGUUGGAACUUAUAGGAGUCGACUUGGUCGGUGAGG